GAAGCCUUAGCUUAAUUAAAGUGUCUGAGUUGCAUUCAGGUGAUGUAGUAUAGAGUCCUACAGGUUUUA
rnacentral:tRNA from 1 species